GACGAACGCUGGCGGCGUGCUUAACACAUGCAAGUCGAACGGAAAGGCCCUGCUUUUGUGGGGUGCUCGAGUGGCGAGCGGGUGAGUAACACGUGAGUAACCUGCCCUUGACUUUGGGAUAACUUCAGGAAACUGGGGCUAAUACCGGAUAGGAGCUCCUGCUGCAUGGUGGGGGUUGGAAAGUUUCGGCGGUUGGGGAUGGACUCGCGGCUUAUCAGCUUGUUGGUGGGGUAGUGGCUUACCAAGGCUUUGACGGGUAGCCGGCCUGAGAGGGUGACCGGCCACAUUGGGACUGAGAUACGGCCCAGACUCCUACGGGAGGCAGCAGUGGGGAAUAUUGCACAAUGGGCGGAAGCCUGAUGCAGCAACGCCGCGUGCGGGAUGACGGCCUUCGGGUUGUAAACCGCUUUCGCCUGUGACGAAGCGUGAGUGACGGUAAUGGGUAAAGAAGCACCGGCUAACUACGUGCCAGCAGCCGCGGCGAUACGUAGGGUGCGAGCGUUGUCCGGAUUUAUUGGGCGUAAAGGGCUCGUAGGUGGUUGAUCGCGUCGGAAGUGUAAUCUUGGGGCUUAACCCUGAGCGUGCUUUCGAUACGGGUUGACUUGAGGAAGGUAGGGGAGAAUGGAAUUCCAGGUGGAGCAGUGGAAUGCGCAGAUAUCAGGAGGAACACCAGUGGCGAAGGCGGUUCUCUGGGCCUUUCCUGACGCUGAGGAGCGAAAGCGUGGGGAGCGAACAGGCUUAGAUACCCUGGUAGUCCACGCUGUAAACGGUGGGUACUAGGUGUGGGGUCCAUUCCACGGGUUCCGUGCCGUAGCUAACGCUUUAAGUACCCCGCCUGGGGAGUACGGCCGCAAGGCUAAAACUCAAAGGAAUUGACGGGGCCCCGCACAAGCGGCGGAGCAUGCGGAUUAAUUCGAUGCAACGCGUAGAACCUUACCUGGGUUUGACAUGGAUCGGGAGUGCUCAGAGAUGGGUGUGCCUCUUUUGGGGUCGGUUCACAGGUGGUGCAUGCCUGUCGUCAGCUCGUGUCGUGAGAUGUUGGGUUAAGUCCCGCAACGAGCGCAACCCUUGUUCACUGUUGCCAGCACGUUAUGGUGGGGACUCAGUGGAGACCGCCGGGGUCAACUCGGAGGAAGGUGGGGAUGACGUCAAGUCCUCAUGCCCCUUAUGUCCAGGGCUUCACGCAUGCUACAAUGGCUGGUACAGAGAGUGGCGAGCCUGUGAGGGUGAGCGAAUCUCGGAAAGCCGGUCUCAGUUCGGAUUGGGGUCUGCAACUCGACCUCAUGAAGUCGGAGUCGCUAGUAAUCGCAGAUCAGCAACGCUGCGGUGAAUAAGGGCCCGGGGCU
rnacentral:rRNA from 1 species